rnacentral:rRNA from 1 species
AGGGUUUGAUCAUGGCUCAGAACGUACGCUGGCGGCACGCCUAACACAUGCAAGUCGAACGAAGUAGCAAUACUUAGUGGCAGACGGGUGAGUAACAUGUAGGUAUCUACCCUUUGGCCUGGAAUAACACGAGGAAACUUGUGCUAAUACCGGAUAAGUCUUUACGGAGAAAGCUUUAUGCACCAUUGGAUGAGCCUGCACUUGAUUAGUUUGUUGGUAGGGUAAUGGCCUACCAAGACUUUGAUCAAUAGCUGAUUUGAGAGGAUGAUCAGCCACAUUGGGACUGAGACACGGCCCAAACUCCUACGGGAGGCAGCAGUGGGGAAUCUUGCACAAUGGAGGAAACUCUGAUGCAGCGAUGCCGCGUGAGUGAAGAAGGCCUUUGGGUUGUAAAGCUCUUUCGUCGGGGAAGAAAAUGACUGUACCCGAAUAAGAAGGUCCGGCUAACUUCGUGCCAGCAGCCGCGGUAAUACGAAGGGACCUAGCGUAGUUCGGAAUUACUGGGCUUAAAGAGUUCGUAGGUGGUUGAAAAAGUUGGUGGUGAAAUCCCAGAGCUUAACUCUGGAACUGCCAUCAAAACUUUUCAGCUAGAGUUUGAUAGAGGAAAGCAGAAUUUCUAGUGUAGAGGUGAAAUUCGUAGAUAUUAGAAAGAAUACCAAUUGCGAAGGCAGCUUUCUGGAUCAUUACUGACACUGAGGAACGAAAGCAUGGGUAGCGAAGAGGAUUAGAUACCCUCGUAGUCCAUGCCGUAAACGAUGUGUGUUAGACGUUGGAAAUUUAUUUUCAGUGUCGCAGCGAAAGCGAUAAACACACCGCCUGGGGAGUACGACCGCAAGGUUAAAACUCAAAUGAAUUGACGGGGACCCGCACAAGUAGUGGAGCAUGUGGUUUAAUUCGAAGAUACGCGCAGAACCUUACCAACACUUGACAUGUUCGUCGCGACUUUAAGAGAUUAAAGUUUUCGGUUCGGCCGGACGAAACACAGGUGCUGCAUGGCUGUCGUCAGCUCGUGUCGUGAGAUGUUGGGUUAAGUCCCGCAACGAGCGCAACCCUCACUUUUAGUUGCCAUCAUUUAGUUGGGCACUCUGAAAGAACUGCCAGUGAUAAGCUGGAGGAAGGUGGGGAUGACGUCAAGUCCUCAUGGCCCUUACGUGUUGGGCUACACACGUGCUACAAUGGUAUCUACAACAGGAAGCAAAACGGCGACGUUAAGCAAAUCCUUAAAAGAUACCUCAGUUCGGAUUGUACUCUGCAACUCGAGUACAUGAAGCUGGAAUUACUAGUAAUCGUGGAUCAGCGUGCCACGGUGAAUGCGUUCCCGGGUCUUGUACACACCGCCCGUCACACCAUGGGAGUUGGUUCUACCUUAAGGCAAGGUUUAAAACCCUUGACCACGGUAUAGUCAGCGACUGGGGUGAAGUCGUAACAAGGUAACCGUA